rnacentral:tRNA from 1 species
CCAGUGGCACAGUGGAUCAGUGCAUCUGGCUGUUAACCAGAAGGUUGGUAGUUCAAGCCCACCCAGGUAGG